UUUUUAACCCCACAUGGUGUGAUGGGAUGGUCGGAGAUAGCAUAUAGAGGAUGGGGGUAGGAUUUUGCAUAUCUGUACUGUUAAUAUGUAUCUGAAAUGGACACGAGUCUGAAUCUAUAUCUGACUGUAUUUGAGACUGUAUGUAUGUACUGUAUGCCAAUUUUUGUUGGGUUACAUACUGAGUUUAUGAAAACUCACAUCUAUUUGUCUGUUCUACUCAUGUAAUCCAUAGGCUUAGGCAGAUCGGUGCGAUGGAG
rnacentral:lncRNA from 1 species